rnacentral:rRNA from 1 species
AUGGCUCAAACAGAAAAACAGAGGUUGUUUGCUAAACAUCAAGAAGGUGCAAGGAAGGAUGUGGAACGCGCAUUUGGUGUGCUCCAGGCGCGAUGGUCUGUUUUACGUCGCCCGGCACGUUUAUAUGACCGGGGCGAUCUCCAUCAUAUUAUGUUAGCCUGCAUCAUUCUACACAACAUGAUAGUUGAGGAUGAAAACGAAGAGGCGGGGAAUAUGCUUGAUUUGAAUCAGGAAGCAGGAUCGUCAAUUGUUUUCCAUCAGUAUUUACUCACGGUGACAUGCCAAUAUUUGCCGAGGUACUUGAAAGAGAUGCUAGAAUUCGUGAUCGUCUGA